UCUUAGAGAUGCAAAGAAAGUGGUUUCUUGAGAUGGAAUCUACUCCUGGUGCAGAUGUUAUGAA
rnacentral:pre_miRNA from 3 species